UACGGAGGGGGCUAGCGUUGUUCGGAAUUACUGGGCGUAAAGCGCACGUAGGCGGCUUUGUAAGUUAGAGGUGAAAGCCCAGGGCUUAACCCUGGAAUUGCCUUUAAGACUGCAUCGCUAGAAUCGUGGAGAGGUGAGUGGAAUUCCGAGUGUAGAGGUGAAAUUCGUAGAUAUUCGGAAGAACACCAGUGGCGAAGGCGGCUCUCUGGGACGGUACUGACGCUGAGACGCGAAAGCGUGGGGAGCGAACAGG
rnacentral:rRNA from 1 species